rnacentral:rRNA from 1 species
AGUGAACGCUGGCGGUAGGCCUAACACAUGCAAGUCGAACGGCAGCACAGUAAGAGCUUGCUCUUACGGGUGGCGAGUGGCGGACGGGUGAGGAAUACAUCGGAAUCUACUUUUUCGUGGGGGAUAACGUAGGGAAGCUUACGCUAAUACCGCAUACGACCUACGGGUGAAAGCAGGGGAUCUUCGGACCUUGCGCGAUUGAAUGAGCCGAUGUCGGAUUAGCUAGUUGGCGGGGUAAAGGCCCACCAAGGCGACGAUCCGUAGCUGGUCUGAGGGGAUGAUCAGCCACACUGGAACUGAGACACGGUCCAGACUCCUACGGGAGGCAGCAGUGGGGAAUAUUGGACAAUGGGCGCAAGCCUGAUCCAGCCAUACCGCGUGGGUGAAGAAGGCCUUCGGGUUGUAAAGCCCUUUUGUUGGGAAAGAAAAGCAGCAGGUUAAUACCCCGCUGUUCUGACGGUACCCAAAGAAUAAGCACCGGCUAACUUCGUG